CGGUUUCUGUUUUGUUGUUAUUUCACGAGAGUUAGUGUCGUCUGGGGCUGACGACUACAACUUCGAACUUUUUGACUGUGAAGAAGUGAUCUUAAAGAACUCUGCAGCCUGCUCUUUCCCACUGAGUGAGGCAAUAAGCUACAUUUGCCACUACUAGCAUACACACCAUACACGUCUUUUCAACUAAGUAAUAAAAUCCACAUGAAGGUAGAGCAGUUAUUUUCAGACACUGGUGGUGGUUAAGUGGGACCUUGUGAGGUUAAUUAAGAAGCUGAAGGGACAUGAAUAGUUUUAAUGGGACCACUAGGGUUUCCCAUCAAUUACCCAGACUGUGGCUGCCUGCCAUGGUCUAAUUUGUCCAACCAGUUUUAUAAUGAACCAGAAAAAUGUUUACUCAUAAUAAAUAACUAAGUAUUUUUUAUCUGGCCCGACCCCGAGACUCUCAUUAUUAGAGAAACACUGGGACCAUACGAAAAGAAAUUCCACAGUAAAAACCAUGUCGAUUUAGUGAAGUGAGUGGUGAAAAGAAGAGGGUGUGAGCCUGUGACUGUAUGUCAGUAUAUCUUAUGUGACUGAUGGUUGACCUGUGCCUUACCUCUCACCCAGUGCAUGAUGGGAUGGGAUUCUUCUCCCCAUGACCUGCACAAAUAAUGGAAUGAAUACAUAUACAUUGUGUGAGGGUUAGGGUGAGACAUGAGUAUCAAACAAGUUCCAGACUCAAUCCAUAACAUGCCAGAUAAUAAUGCAUGCCAUGCAUCUUUAUCAUUUCUUCACCAUCAUAUGUAAAUAACUGAGGAUUGAGCACAAAAUGUCCACGGCAGCACCACACCCUUCAUUCCAAGAUACUAUUCAUCAGCAUUCACUUACCAUUCAUUGUAUUGACAACUACAGACUUGUCUGAGGUUUCAGACUUUUCUCAGACUAUAUAAAUACUAUUAGGUUUUUAAAAGUUUGGAGGCUGCUCACCUGUGUAAGGUUAUCUUCCUCCUCCCUGAUUGAGGUUGAAGCCUGCAGCCAUUUCCAUUCCUAAACCACUAAAUUAAACUUUACCCCCCAAAAAUACAGCUUUAAAUGAUGCAAAUGAACAACAACAUAGUAAUAACACAUUACACUCUCAAAAAAUGGAUGAAUACAGAUAUUGUAAAGAAAAACUCAGGUGCCGUGUAACUUGUCAUGUGGAAAUAUCACUCAUCCACAUCAAGAGGUGGAACCUCAUGUAGAGUUAUACUAGUGUUUAACACAGGUCAAAUGGACUGGUUGAUUUAUUGAAGAUGCUUCACCUCUGAUCCAUGAGGCUUCUUUAGUUCUAACUGACUGAUCGGAGACACAGGUAUUUAACUUGUAGGGUCAUUAGGAGUUGUUGAGGUUACCUCCAGAUUUUGGCCGGGGAGACAGAUGGUUUGAAAGAGGAGUGAAGGAAGCCAUCUUUGUCAAACUAGAGGCAUCAGCUCUGAAGAGAGGAGGAGGAUCCUAUCAUCCUACUAUCAGCCAUAUACAAUACAGUCCUGACUUCCAUCCCCAAGAAGUUUCACAACAAUUCACACCUUAAAGCCUGAAACAUGCUUCUGCGUUUUUCACGGGCCCGUAAGCGCAAGAGCCCUUCCGGGUCCCUUACGUGCUUAUGUAUCCCUCCUUACGUGCUGACGGGUGUCGACCCCCUUUUCUAAAAUUUACGGCAAAGCUCCGCAAGCUCACUCAGCCUGCAAGGCUGUGAUUGGUCUGCUCUACAUCCCUUCUGGAGCUGCAUUUCCGGUUUCAUGUCCCAUAAUACCGGCAGAAAUCACGGAAGAUUUAGAAGAACGAAUAUGGACCAAAUAGAAGAGCACUUGGCAGAAGAUAUCCGAUAGUAUGAUCACUUGUAUAACCUGUCACUGACUGGCGGAUUUGUCCGCCAGAAAAAGGCUACGAGGAGCCGCAGUGGCUAUGUAAAUAAACAAUCGACGAAGAAGAAAGAAAGCGUCUCUAAGGUCGUCUUCGACAAAAAGCAUUACUCCGCCUAGUGUUCUGGCGCGGAAUUGCUUAGUAAGACGCGCAACGGUUUGGGAAGCAUGAAUGAAAACGAGUCUUGCGCCACAGCGGCAUGAAAAGACGCAGACGCAGUCGCAGAAGCAUGUUUCAGGCUUAACACAAGUGACUCACAGGGGGUCAACGACCUACAAUAACUCCCAACGAAACCAAAAGCAGGGUGGGACCAGUUUCUGAGGUAACCUCAACGACCCCUAACGACCCAAAACGACCAACAACGACUCCCAAAGAAACCAACAGACGGUCCAGCCUCUCAGGUAACCUCAGUUGACCUAAUUUUAACACUUGGAUAUACCAUGACCUGAAGUUAUUGUGUGUAACGUAAGCAAAGAUACUUUUACUGAAUAUGUUCAGUUUCCACACAUCCUCACCUAAUUUUAUUUUUUUAAUUGACAUUCAUGAUAUGGACGGAAGGGGUGGUGCGCGUUCCAGUUGGCGAGCAGAAGUUCAGUCGUCUGUGAAUGAAUGUGGGCACUUGAGGAAUGUGGGCACUUGAGGAUCGAAGUCUUGAAUGUCAUGAAUCAUGAAGAUUAUAAACUCCCAUGUCUGUAGCUGAUUGUGUAUUUCAUGUUAAAUAAAUUGUGUUGGCAGGGACUUAACAUGAUUUUGCUAUUAUCAACUUUAACAGGCAUUUGAUGAUGCCCCCCACCCUCUUGUAGCAACAGAGGUAACAGUGGCUCGACUCAAAGACAACCGUAGCAUAUGGAACAGAUCGGUGGACAGACCCUAUUUGGAGCAGUGGGACAUCUCCCUGAGAGUCCUUUGUUCCUGCACCGCCGUGACAUCACUCAUACCUGGCACCAGGCGUGACGGUUGCCUCCUCGAGCAGCUGCCCUGUCUUUCUACAUUGAGUUUGCUUGUGAUACUGGUCAUCUAUUACAAUAAGAAUCAACUGAUGAGGGAUGAGUGGUUGGAGUGAACCACAAGUGAACAGGAAGCAGUCACAGGAUCUUUCUGUUCCCUCAUUCAGAGAGAGAGAGAGAGAGAGAGAGAGAUCGAAUGUCACCUACGUUCAUUUAUUGACAUAAUCCUAUCUGACAGUGGCUUUCUGAAAUGACUGUUUUUUAAACAUGUAGCCUCCUCUUUAUGCAGUAAUAAUAUGCAACUGCUAAAAUGUUUGUUUUUUUUAAAUAUAAUUGUAAUGACC